rnacentral:rRNA from 1 species
GACGAACGCUGGCGGCGUGCCUAAUACAUGUAAGUAGAACGCACAGUUUAUACCGUAGCUUGCUACACCAUAGACUGUGAGUUGCGAACGGGUGAGUAACGCGUAGGUAACCUGCCUGGUAGCGGGGGAUAACUAUUGGAAACGAUAGCUAAUACCGCAUAAUAUUAAUUAUUGCAUGAUAAUUAAUUGAAAGGUGCAAUUGCACCACUACCAGAUGGACCUGCGUUGUAUUAGCUAGUAGGUGAGGUAACGGCUCACCUAGGCGACGAUACAUAGCCGACCUGAGAGGGUGAUCGGCCACACUGGGACUGAGACACGGCCCAGACGCCUACGGGAGGCAGCAGUAGGGAAUCUUCGGCAAUGGACGAAAGUCUGACCGAGCAACGCCGCGUGAGUGAAGAAGGUUUUCGGAUCGUAAAGCUCUGUUGUAAGAGAAGAACGGGUGUGAGAGUGGAAAGUUCACACUGUGACGGUAUCUUACCAGAAAGGGACGGCUAACUACGUG